CUGAGUCCUGCGGGUACCGGUGUCUGCUGCCUGCCUUGGGACAGAAGGGCUGGAGCCCGGCUGGGGCAGGUGGGACGGGGGCCAGCAUGCCUCGUGGGGGCCUGUGAGCUCCUGAGCCAAUGCGCGCUGACAUUCGGAGGAAGAUACCACAUUUUCUUUUUAACUACUGUGGAAACUGAGUCUCCAUGAGGUUCAACAGCUUCUCAAGCUUUCAUAGCCAACCCAACAAGGGGCACAGACCCAGCUGCCCUGUCGAUGAUGGAGUCACACAUCAGGUCUUUCUUCAGAAACGAGGACGCCGAGGUCUGAAUAACUUGCCUGAAGUCAUAGCAAGUCAGCAGCAGUGCCGGGCACGCAGGCAGAUCUGAGCCAAGAAUCCACACCCUCCAUCAUCCCCGAAGCCACUUUUCUGCUCUCUCCAGUCUGGAAGAUCACGACGGGGGCGUAAGUGUACACGCUGAGUUGAGUUUAAGGCUCUCGCUUGCCAUCGUCUUUGUGCCAUGUUGAAGGCAGUGAGGGUGUUCCUGGGGGGCUUAUCACUCCUGCUACUCCAGCUGCUGGUUCUGGGUCAGAGUUAAUCGUAACUUUCCUGGUUAUAAAUUGGGUUUGAAACAUUUGUAUCUUACGUACUUUCUACCUGGGCAGGGACCCUUAAUCUAAUUCGUGAGGCGUUUCUGAUGCCAGCAUGCCUUCAGGAGGCUCUGCAUAUGGCCUGUGAUUACAUUUAUCUAAUUAACCAAAACCCCUCCCUCUUUAGACUUCUAGUCUAAAGAGUGCGGUUAAUGAAGUGGAAACCAUCAAAAACACUUCAGCUUAAUCCUAGGGGAAAAGUUGAUGUGGCGUGACAGAAACCUGGGAUUAUUGCUCUCAUUAAAAGGUAAUUUACAGCUGGCAGGGAUUCUGUUUUAGCUUCUUGAGGGUCUGACAGCCGGGCCACCUGUUACUCUUUGGCCGCAGGAGCAGGACGGGAGCUGGUGGGGAGGCCCGAGGCAGCCAGGCUGGAGGCAC